UCAAGUUCAAUGUUCAAUGACAUUGCUGUCUAGAGAGGCCUCACUGAGCCAUCGGAUUUCAUCAAAAAUAUCUUAAUUUGUGUUCCGAAGAUGAACGAAGGUCUUACGGGUGUAGAACGACAUGAGGGUUUCUUGUCAGGAUAAAUCCUGAAAAUUCGAAAUGCAAUUCUGAGUUCCAGGUGAGCAGAAAGAGCGGGAGGAUUGUUAGGAGGAAAACCACAGCCUUAAACCCACAAGUUGCAUCUUUCAUUAGGGAGUUUGCACAAUAUGACUGGCAGAAUCAUUAAGGAUUAUCAGAAGUGCGACUUUUUCCACAUGACACCAGCCCUCCUCACCUGGCCUUCAUCCUCACCUUCUUUCUUUGUUCAACUUCUUUCUUUGUUCUACUGUGUUAUGUAAGUUUGUA